CCUGGGUCUGGGCAAGCUUUCCUUGGGCCUUGAAGAGGGCUUUGUCCGCCGCCGACCGACGCGACCCCUUCCCACUAAAAACGCCGCAGCAGAACAGGCUGCUCUCCUCCUUCUCCAGCAGGCCGUCGUCGGGCGACAGUGCCGUCUCACACUCACCUCGGAGAUGUUUCCAUGCUUCGACCGUCGCGGCAGCAACUCGGCGAGAAGGUUCUUCACUGAAGCUGGGAGAGCGAGUCGAGUGAGAGGGUCUCAGAGAGAGAGAGGACAACGACUCGGAGGCGCGAGGAGGAACCACAGAUGAGCGGGAAGGCAGCAGCCAGGCGACGAGUCGGCGCCAACGAUUGCCCAAGCUCUGCGGUCCUCUACAGUUUGAGGUGGUGUGGGCCAAUUAAUGUGGGAGGAAACCGGAGCACCUGAAUAAUAACUGAACAAAAAAUGUUUACCAGGUAAAGCUCACUCAGCUAUACAGCUCUUUUUUUCAGAAACGACCUGGCCCCAAAUGAUAGCUCAACGAAGUGGCUUAUCUUGUGGAAAUUUACAGCAGUCAAAUACUCAAAACGCUCGUUUAUUCUGUAUCUGAGGAGGUAAAAACCGGAGGACCCGGAAAAAAUCCACGCGACCACGGGGAGACAGAGACAUGCAAACUCCAAAUAUACAGCAGGCGUCUGGGUCGGGAUCGAAUCCACGACCUCCUGUAUACCAGGCGAGGUAGUUAACAUCUCACCACCGUGGCGCCCAUGCGUGCGAAGGGGGCAAACACUCAAUCCCAUGCAGUCCACAUUCUUCCUUUACCGCCUUCUCCUGGCAUAGCCAGGGCAUGGCACCUCCUCGACGCCCACGGCAAGGGAGUUUCACAACAUCGAAGUGCGGUGAUCCACCGACCCUCGCUGCUGCCUCCACAGUGCAGCAGCCACGUGCAGCAGCGUAGCCGCCAGCGCCCAGCUUUUGUUGUGUGCGUGUGUACACAGGAGACGGUAAAAACAACGAGGCAUGAGCAAAUAAUGAAUGAAAUUGUAAAUUCUGAAUCGUGACGAAUUAAAUUACUGGUGGGCUACAUAACUGCGUCCCUACGAACCAUCCGCCAGCAGCAGGUCUAGCGAUGUUUUCAAUCUCAGAUCAUUCUAAUGUUUUACAUUUCCAUGCAUUCGUUUUCCUUCUUUAGCAGGCAGAUGCUGAUACAUUAAUCCAGAGAUCAUAUGUCAUUGUCUUCCUCGUCCAAGUAUUAGCUGCACUCAUUUGAUAUGUCGGUGUGUCUGAGCCAUACGUCACAGCAGGUGAUAGAUGCACCGUUUGUAAACGUGAUUCCCUGAGCACAUAGCUAUGUUGCUAUUCAGAAGCACUCCGAUCUAACGUCGUCCCCCUCUCUUAUGUCCUGUCUAUGAUCCCGGUCUGCCUUCAAUAACUCCCCUAGGUAUACAUGUGAGCAUUGCAUUUUCCAGUUCCUCCAACAUUGAUUCCAUAGGGAGCUACAAUGAUUUUACAAUAUUUUUCCACAGAAACUUUCACCACUCUACAUGGUCAAUAGGCCUGAUUAGGUACGUCUUCAUGCUAAGUAUAUGGUACAGUAUUUACAUGAGAUGGAUGUGACUGUGAUUCUCGUAUUGUAAAAUGUUUUAGCACUAAAGUCAGGACUGGACUUAGGAAUGGACGAUCGGGGCGGCUACUCAUGGGCGAAAAUUUGUAAUGGAAAAUAAUGAGGGCAUCGCCAUGGGCAAAUAGGGGUAGAGAGAAAGACACGGAGAGAAACACACACGGCGAAAGAUAGACACAGAAAUAGGCAGUGAGAGACGUAGGAGUACAGUGAGAAACAAACACAACAACAAUAACCGACAUUAGCCACUAAGUGGCGGUGACGUCACUACGACGCUUGUGCCAGGCUAUGUGCACCUUGAG